CGUAACAAGGUCUCCGUAGGUGAACCUGCGGAGGGAUCAUUACACAAAUAUGAAGGCGGGCUGGAACCUCUCGGGGUUACAGCCUUGCUGAAUUAUUCACCCUUGUCUUUUGCGUACUUCUUGUUUCCUUGGUGGGUUCGCCCACCACUGGGACAAACAUAAACCUUUUGUAAUUGCAAUCAGCGUCAGUAACAAAUUAAUAAUUACAACUUUCAACAACGGAUCUCUUGGUUCUGGCAUCGAUGAAGAACGCAGCGAAAUGCGAUAAGUAGUGUGAACUGCAGAAUUCAGUGAAUCAUCGAAUCUUUGAACGCACAUUGCGCCCUUUGGUAUUCCAAAGGGCAUGCCUGUUCGAGCGUCAUUUGUACCCUCAAGCUUUGCUUGGUGUUGGGCGUCUUGUCUCUAGCUUUGCUGGAGACUCGCCUUAAAGUAAUUGGCAGCCGGCCUACUGGUUUCGGAGCGCAGCACAAGUCGCACUCUCUAUCAGCAAAGGUCUUGCAUCCAUUAAGCCUUUUUUUCAACUUUUGACCUCGGAUCAGGUAGGGAUACCCGCUGAACUUAAGC
rnacentral:rRNA from 1 species